rnacentral:lncRNA from 1 species
CUUUAAGUGCUUCAGCCUCUAUCUACCUCCAAGCUUACUCCACAAUGUUGGUUAGGAUUGAAUCCACAAAAGUGAUUUUCCCUGUGUUUUGUAGGAUUUUCACCUGUGUGAAGCAAUCAUUGGUGGAGUCCAGAAACUGCAUCUGUAAACUCAGUCUCAUGACAUUUGGGCAGCUUGUGUACCAGCAACUGAAGCUCUCCAUCCCAUUUAGAUUUCUGGAUCAGUUGCCAGAGUCCUGACCCUGCCAGAGUCCCUGCGGGUGGGAUGCUGAACCUGCCUGAACUUCAGCUGCUGCCAGAGGCUGUGCCAGCCCAGCUGAGCUCACUGCAGGACCAGAGAUGAGUUAGCUGGUGGUCUGGGUUGAGACACAUGAGGCAGAAAAAGGAGGUAUUUUGAAUUUGGAAACUUGGUGGCAAAGUUUGAGAGUUUAAUAAAGAUAAGAAGCUUUUUCUCUCUCA